UACGGAGGGGGCUAGUGCUGUUCGGAAUUACUGGGCGUAAAGGGCGCGCAGGCGGCUUGGCAAGUCGAGUGUGAAAUCCCUUGGCUUAACUGAGGAACGGCGCUCGAAACUACCUCGCUGGAGGGCGGGAGAGGGAAGUGGAACUCUCGGUGUAGGGGUGAAAUCUGUAGAUAUCGAGAGGAACACCGGUGGCGAAGGCGGCUUCCUGGCCCGUACCUGACGCUGAGGCGCGAAAGCGUGGGGAGCAAACAGG
rnacentral:rRNA from 1 species